UACGUAGGGUGCGAGCGUUGUCCGGAAUUAUUGGGCGUAAAGGGCUCGUAGGCGGUUUGUCGCGUCGGGAGUGAAAUCCACUGGCUUAACUGGUGGCUUGCUUUCGAUACGGGCAGACUUGAGGCAUGCAGGGGAGAACGGAAUUCCUGGUGUAGCGGUGAAAUGCGCAGAUAUCAGGAGGAACACCGGUGGCGAAGGCGGUUCUCUGGGCAUGUUCUGACGCUGAGGAGCGAAAGUGUGGGGAGCGAACAGG
rnacentral:rRNA from 1 species